GCCCUUAUAGCUCAGUGGUAGAAGCGCUGCACUUGUAAUGCAGAGGUCCGCGGUUCAAUCCCGCGUGGGGGCA
rnacentral:tRNA from 1 species